ensembl:lncRNA
GGCGGAGCCAGAGAGCAGUGAUUGGUCAGACCAUAGCUAGCUAUAGAAGACAGCGCGCUAGCGUAUCUAGUCUUUUAUGUAGCUAUGGUCGGCACGUCUGGUAGCAUCUCUGGCUGCUGCUGAUCUUGUUUUUGGAGUAAAACACGGUGGAAGCUGAAUUAGUGAGGAUGACUCCUGCUCCUGUCAUCUCUAAGCUCCUCACACAUCUUUACCUGCACAUGAGGAAAAUCACUCCUGUAGAAUGCAGAUGUUCAGAGGGAGAUGAUGCCACAUCUGGUCCAGCUGAUGGAAGGUCUUGAAGUUCUCUGACUGGCCUCGACUGAAGAUGGUCGUCUCACUGGAUUUAAGAUGCACAAUGAGGGACGUCUGCAGAGACUGAGAAAGAGUCUCACCACAUCCUGACAUGAGGAAAGAGACUUUAUUGAAGACUACAAUGAGAAAAACUAUCAGACAGCAGACGGCUGCAUUCAAGUCUGUAGCUGCUGAAUUCAUGGAUGAAUCAUCUGGUACUAGAGAAGAAGACCAUCAAACAUCCACGUCAGCUGAUGGAGGUCCAAGAGUCUCACCGAACAACCAACCUACAGAGUGAAGACCUUAAAUCUGAUUGGACAGCCUCCUAUUCAGCCACAUGUGUGAACAAAUGCCUCUAAGCUGAUUUGUUUUCUAAAAUAAAUCUAGUUUGAGUCCUAAUCUAUGCCUGUGUGUUUGCUUCUUUACACUGCUGUUAACAGUUUAGGCUGUUAGAUUGUUCCAGAUAAGACAAGUACAAGAUUCUUCAGAGCCGUUCUACCACGAGCCUGACAGGAAGAACUCCAACAGCUACUGAAUGUUCCUGUGGUCCCCUCAAGGCUACAGGAGGAGUCCUACGAGGACGAGCCGGUCCACCUGAUGGCGGCCAGUCGCUGCGGUUCAAAGCCAACACCGACUACGUGGACUUCUACUGGACCACACAGAGGCCUUCAAACCGGACCAACAAGUUCAGCGACUCCCCGACUCGUGGGUCUGAGGACGCCGCCGAGCCUCGGCCCAGCCGGCCUCCUGUCUGUGGGUGUUUGAGUGCUGAGAGGUUUGUGGAUGCAUGUGAACGUGUCUGUGUUGAAACAGCAGCUUUUGACUCACUAACGCCGGGAAAAACCAAGAGCUCCUUUAUUUGUGACUUCCACUAAAAAAACUGAUGAAAAUAAGUUUGCCAGGGUUCUGACUGAUAACAGAUUAUUAAAUAAUGAAAAUAAUCGUUUAAAUAUUCCUUUAAACAAUCCUUUUAGG